rnacentral:rRNA from 1 species
UACGUAGGAGACGAGCGUUGUCCGGAGUUACUGGGCGUAAAGGGUGCGCAGGCGGCCCUGCGCGUCGCGAGUGAAAUCUCCCGGCUCAACUGGGAGGGUGGUCGCGAGACGGCAGGGCUUGAGGCUCGGUGAGGGGCGUGGAAUUCCCGGUGUAGCGGUGAAAUGCGCAGAUAUCGGGAAGAACACCCGUGGCGAAGGCGGCACUCUGGGACGGUACUGGCGCUGAGACGCGAAAGCGUGGGGAGCGAACAGG